GCCGGAGGUAGGGCUGGAACUCACGAACUCAGAGAACAUGACCUGAGCCCAAGUCAGAUGCCCCACCAGCCAAGCUACCCAGGUGCCCCCCCCCCACCCCCCGCAGUAAUUCUCAAACCCAAAGCCAGUCUCUAGUUGAAAUUCACCCAUGAUCUGUCAAACUGAGUUGCUUCCCAAUAAACUUGUCAUUAAAUGUAAUUAAUAUGUGAUACGAACUUUGAAGCCAAAAAGAAUUUCAUCAAUGACAUGAGCAACUUCUUGGCCAAAUUGGAUCAUGGUUUUCCCAUAGGGCACAAAUACAGUUUUUCCUCCAUGUUUUCUGCCGGUUAUAAUGUAAAGGAUACAGAGUUGACACAUUUUGGUCAAAAUUUUGGCAACAUUUUAAAUUAAGCUACAUUGUUAAUUUUCUCCAUUACUUUCUUAAGUCUAGAGGAGAGGUUGGGAGAGUUUUUCCCGAGGGGUCAAAUGGGAAAUAUUUUAGGCUUUGCCAGACACAUGUAGUGUCUGUCACAUAUUUUUUCUUUUGUUUUGUUUUUUUACCACCCUUUCAAAAUAUGAAAGCUGUUCUUAGCUCCAGCAAAGGCCAGAUUCAACCUUCCAGCUCUGAACUGUAGCAUGUUCAGAUUUCCACAAUAUAAAUGUUUCUCUGAUGGCUGAUUUCAAGCGGCCAAUGUGGGGUGCCUGAACCAACAUGGAGUGUCAGAAUGAGGCUUGGGAACCCUCUUUCCAGCAUAUGGAUCCAAUAAAUGGAAGUAACCCAAGGCACGUAGGUCACGGUAGGAUAAUUGAGAAGUAGCGUGUUGUGAGACCUUGUUAUCAAGAGUACUGAUUUCACUGUAAACUUCUCUAAUUUAAUUUUUGAUAAUGUCUGUUUAACCGCAAGCCCACAGAAUUCCUGAAAAUUUAACAUUUGAUUCUCAUGCCCCAGCUCCGGCUCGCACGGGUGUCACCUCCAAGUGGAGAUGGGGUUGUGUCAGCUAGGCUUCUGGGUUGGUCCUGGAUGUUCAGUUUCUUCCCCCGGGUUCCACUUAGGCACCCCCCAAGGUGACCCCCGGCAAGUCAGUGCCCUGGAUCAUCCCCUCCCCCUGAGUCUGAGCCCGACCCACCAUGGGCUUCUGACCAGCAGAGUUUGCUGAGCGGGGUAGGCCCUCGUUCCCUUGACUGUGUCCCUUCACAUGUGAAGGAUGAUGGAUGUCACACCCAUCACGCCCACGAUCCCAUGAUGUCUGGAGACACCGUCUCCUGCCGGCCUUGCAGGAGCCACAGCCACGCGAACAGCCCUUGGAGAAGGCCCCGUGGCAGGGGACCGUGGCAGGGGACGGUGGGCCGCCUCCAGGACCUGAGGGUGGCCUCCAGCCAAUCGCCACAAAGAAGCUGGGGCCCUCGGUCGUGUGCUCACGAGGACACGCGUGUGCCAGCAGCCUGAAUGAGCUGGAAAGAGUGGAGCCUCCAGACGAGAGCAAAGCCCAGCCCCCACCUGGAUUACAACGUGGGAGACCCUGAGCCGGCAGCUCUGCCCACCCCUGACUCCUGCCCUGGGGAACCUGAGGUAUGGCACAGACAGCGGGAAGGAUGGGGGACACAUAGCAUCAUCACACUGGGAGAUCAAUAUGACGUCUCAACCCAAGAGGGCAGAUGCUCUCCUUGCCGAAAUAAUAAACCUGAGAAACAGAUGAUGUGGCUUGAACUGUGACCAACCAGGCCUGCUCACUCCUUGAAGGUUAACAGAAUAAAAUGACU